AAAUGAACCAUGAGAAAAAUGAAAACUCAGGUCUUAAAAUUAUUAAUUUACAGAGAUAAUAACAUUUCUCUCAAAUGGCGUGCCAGCAGUCUCGGUUAUACGAUUAGAAUAUAAAAUAUAUUUUUUCUUCAUCUAAAAUAAAAUGAAAAAGUUUAAUAAUCAAAGUGAAAUUUUAAAAUUUUCUAAUUAAAAAAUGAAGAAAAACAUAACACGAAGAAAAAGGAUUAGAUACCCUUCUACUAAACUCCAAUGGUAAUAAAUGAAAUCCAUCAAACCUAAAAGAAUUGGCGGUCUUUUACCCAUUCAGGGGGAUUUGUCUCUUAAAUCGAUAGCCCCCGUUUCAUAAACGCCCAUUUUCUUAAUUUGUAUAUCGCCGAAAAUUAGAAAAAAAAAUCUAACCUUCAGGUAAAAUACAAUUCAUAAAAGGGAGAAGAUUAAUCACAUAAAAGACCUUUCGUUAAACACUAAUAAAAUAAGGACCUGCAAGUAAACUUCUUAUAAAAUAAGAAGUUUAAAAGGCAAUCAAAGAUGUACAUAUCGCCCGUCACCCUAAAAUUUAGGUAAGUCGUAACAAAGUAGAAGUUUCGGAAGAAGCCUCUUUU
rnacentral:rRNA from 1 species